AGGGUUCGAUUCUGGCUCAGGAUGAACGCUGGCGGCGUGCUUAACACAUGCAAGUCGAACGGGAUAUUGAAAGCUUGCUUUGAAUAAUCUAGUGGCGGACGGGUGAGUAACGCGUGGGUAACCUGCCGUAUGCUGGGGGACAACAGUUGGAAACGACUGCUAAUACCGCAUAAGCGCACAGGGCCGCAUGGCCCAGUGUGAAAAACUCCGGUGGCAUACGAUGGACCCGCGUCUGAUUAGGCAGUUGGCGAGGUAACGGCUCACCAAACCGACGAUCAGUAGCCGGCCUGAGAGGGUGAACGGCCACAUUGGGACUGAGACACGGCCCAAACUCCUACGGGAGGCAGCAGUGGGGAAUAUUGCACAAUGGGGGAAACCCUGAUGCAGCCGACGCCGCGUGAGUGAAGAAGUAUUUCGGUAUGUAAAGCUCUAUCAGCAGGGAAGAAGAUGACGGUACCUGCACAAGAAGCCCCGGCUAACUACGUGCCAGCCGCGGC
rnacentral:rRNA from 1 species